rnacentral:ncRNA from 1 species
GAAUAAAAUAACCUCCGAGGGACUUAGAUUUAGACUUAGCAGUCAAAAGUGCAACAUCACUUAUUGAUCCAAAAUACUUGAUCAACAGAACAAGUUACCCUAAAGAUAAUAGUGCAACCCUAUUUUAGAGUCAAUAUUGACAAUACAGUUUACGACCUCGAUGUUGGAUCAGAACAUCCCGAUGGUUCAGCAAAGUUUCAUUUGUUCAACAAUUACAGUCCUGUGUGAUCUGAGUUCAGACCAGAGCAAUCCAGGUCGGUUUCUAUC